AACUCCUCGCGCAGCCUCAGGCCCCCAACACCACCGACGCAGGCUCCUCUUCGGCGCUCCCGUUCGCCCGCGCGCUCAACCCUGGAAGACAACCUAUACUGACACCGCAAAUUUCAUUGUGUGUUGUGGGGUGUGCCAGAUCGACGCUGCCGAUCAAAAGACCGUCGCUCCUGCGACCUACCUUUCUGCUGCUUCCACAUACACGCUAUCUCCUGCUCGUCAUGGUUGACACAGAUGCUGCUCGCCUCGCCAGGGAGCUACGAGAAAAAGCAGCAGCUGACGCAGAGGCCGAACGUGCACGGCAAGCUGAAAUCAUAUUCCAUCUUUAACCAAAUCAUUCUAUUCUAACAGUUUGGUUGAGUUCUGGUCUCCAUUUC